UACAUGGUACGUUGUCAAUUCACGCAUGCUGGGCUGCGGAUAGAUCGUGCAGCCCAUUUUCGUGGGCCGCAAACCCUCGAUAAAAGGAUGUCUUUCCUCCAAAACUUCACGCUUAGACGGCCCAGCUAACGCCAUAAUGGACUGAAACGGAAUCUUACAUUGCUCACUGGAAGGGACUCGUUCCGCCGAGGAACUAGCACAAAAUAUUUGGGAAUUUUUUCUACAUUGACGGUGUGAGGAGACUGAGUUAGGGGGGGACAUAAUCAUGAUGGCGACUCCACAGAGCAAGGCACCCGCGACCAAGACCGUGCAGCCGCUGGCCACGAAACCGGGUGCUGCGGCCCCAGCCCCGCCUGGGCCGGCCGCCCAACCACCCGCCGGUCCGGUUGUCCCAGAACUGGACCUAUCGCACCUCUCAGAGGAGGAACGACGGCAAAUUCAGGCGGUGCUGGAAAGGCAAAAACAGGAGGAGGAAAAAGAGGCCAAACUCAUAAGGGCCUUGAAGGAGGACCUUGACCGGGUCCAGCAGACCACGCAGGCCGUGGCCUCGGAGUCCAAGGCCAAGGGCAGCCUCCCCCAGAAUGGCGCCGUCUGCCAGAUCUGCCACAAGACCAAGUUUGCCGACGGGGUGGGCCACUCCUGUAGCUACUGCAACCUGAAGUCCUGUGCCCGAUGUGGUGGUCGGGUUACGCUCCGCUCCAACAAGCCACCUGAAAAAGCCCCGUCAUCUGUUCGACCAAAGGUUUUAUGGGUGUGCAAACUGUGUCGCAAAAAGCAGGAAUUUCUGACCAAAACUGGACAGUGGUACCACGGUCGGCAAGGUAAACCUCAGAGCCUGGACCUCAGUGCAGUUAAGGCUAUCGAUGGGGGCAGCAAGCCCCAAACUCCUCAGCCUGCCAAGGAUGGGCCCCAGCAACAACAGCAACAAAUCAUCAAGCCUCAAAUGGAACAAAUACUCCACAGCGCGAAGCCCAGCAACAACAAUAAUAAGGAGAACUUGGGGGCUGGCCAGCCGCCCUCACGGCCGCGUUCCACUACACCACACAGUCAACUCACCCGCCAGCUGUCCAAGAACGAGGACGAGACGUCGUCGCCUCUUCCCCAAACCAACUCCAAGCCCGUGCACCGAACUCACAGCCGGGAGUUGGCUGGGAAACGGCCGGGUGCCCAUGACGAGCGGACGCACAAUGCGCGGGCCGAUCCCAGCUAUGAUCCAUCCAGCGAUGUGCAUUACCAGGACCGCCGGCGGGAGUCGCGGUACUCCAUGCGGGACAGGACACCAGACCGGGACCGUUCCACGAGUAGUGAGCGCACCACCAUGACAGAGCGUCAUGGACGGGACCCAGCCAAAUACUCUGGGCGUGAGCGUGAGCAUUUCAUGGAGCAGGAUCCACGGCGAUUUAAAAACCAGGACCACAUACGGGAUCAUGGGCGGUACCCAGAUCAUGAACGAGAAAGAGAUCGAGAGAGGUUCAAUCAUGGCUAUGAGAGUCCUGACCGACAUGGUUAUCCUGAGGAGAGGUAUUACGCAGGGGAUCAUGACCGAGGGCGCCAUUACACCAAGGAGCCCUUGGUGCGUCAGGUGAGUGGCAGAACUUUGGAUCGUCAGCGCAGGAUGUAUGCAGAUGACCCACCCUCGCCGCAUUACCCACACGAUCGUUACCCAGAGCACACCAGUUCAGAUCGUGAACGAAGAGACAUGGAUCAAAGGGAAAUAGAUCGUAGGGAAACAGAGCACAGGGAAUUGUCGGACCGGCGUGAGAUGGACCGCCGGGACAUGCCUGAACGCCGGGAAGGCGUUGGUGCUCAAAUGGACAUGAGGGAGUUUGAGCGUCACCCCAGUGAACGCCGGACCCGUGCCCGACGCGAGCGGGACCGCAGCCCUGGGGAGUCCAAGCGGAGCUCACCCCGGAAGGACGAGGAACGCUUCGGCGAGGAGUACCGCAGGGGGGCAGGGCCACCAUACCCACAGGAAGGUGUGUCACAGAAGCGGCCCAACAGCUCGCCCCGUCACAGCAUCACCGUGGAAGAUGUUGACGCCCAGCGGGAGCGGCUCCUUCUGGCCGAAUCCUAUGGUGCUCCCGGCCGCGCCCCUGAGCUGGGCCCCAAGCAGCACCUGGACCCCAGCUCGGCUGCGACCAAGACAAGCAAACAGGAGUCCCUGUCCAGGAACAGUAAAGCUGCUGACUCCAUGAUCAGGGCUGACUCGCUCAGCUCAGACCAAAGUGAGUGUGUCCGGCCGCCUCCCCCGAAGCCACACAAGACCAAGGGGUCUCGUAAGAGAAGACAGUUCUCGUUAAGUAGCUCCGAGGAGGAAAUCCGGUCAACACCAGAGUACACUAGCUGUGAGGAAGGAGAGAUUGAAAGUGAAAGUGUCAGUGAGCGAGGUUCGGGUGAACUUGAGAUUGGGACCGGUGGGGGUAACAACAACAGCAGCAGCAAGGAUAAGGGCAUGCAUGGCGGGCGCGGGGAACCAGUCGCUGCCGACGACCACCACCAUUCGGAAUCAGAGCUGGCCCUCUCGGCCGCCAAAAAGAAAAUUGUCCGGUUCGGCCAGGGGGAAGGCCGGUCCAUGGAGGAAGACCCCGAGUGGUCCGAGCCGCAAAUUAAAGACUCGGGGGUGGAUACCGGUAGCAGUACAACCUUAAAUGAGGAGCAUAGUCUGGCUUCCAAGCAACCAGUCACGUGGACCCCAGACCUGGACAACAACAGGUUGAUUGGCCACAUGAUCCUAAAGAAGAGCCAGGGUGACAGCUCGACGCCGCAGGACUCUAGUGCCAUCCUGGGGCUGAAGGUCAAAGGCGGCAAGGUCAAGGAGGCGGGCAAGCUGGGUGCCUUCAUCUCCCGGGUCAAGCGGGGGAGCAUCGCCGACACCGUCGGUCAUCUGCGAGCAGGGGAUGAAGUUUUGUCCUGGAACGGACACAACCUCCAGGGCAAAGAUGUCAAUGAAGUGUACACCGUCAUCUUUGAGUCCAAGAGUGAGCCGCAGGUGGAGCUGAAAGUGGCCCGGCCGAUGGGCAGUGAAAUGGACCAGACGACGCGGGAGAAGCUUGCCCAGCAGUUCAGGUCUCAGCGACCAGACUCCAUCACCAAGAGAUCCAGUCAAAGUGUUUGUUCUUGCGCCUGUGCAGGCUCCAGUGGCUAUGAGUCCACCACCAAGCACAAGGAGGAGGAGGAGAUACCACCACAGGUCCGGCACAAACGGCCGUCGGUCACCAUCACGUCCCCAGGAAGCCCUGGGAUGACAAGGCGGAAUGGCUCACCUCUGGUGCAAGGAGACCUCCAGAUGAAGCUGUGGUACGACAAUACCAACUACCAGAUUGGGGUGACGAUUCUCAGUGUCAAGGGCCUGCCACCACGGGAGAAGACGGGUGACCUGCGCAACCCCUAUGUCAAAAUGUAUCUGCUUCCAGAGAGGAGUGAUGAGAGUAAACGUCGCACAAAGACUCUCCACAAAACUCUCAAUCCCAAAUGGAACCAGACCUUCCUGUACGGUCCCUUGAAGCGGUCAGAGUUCAAAGGUAACACCCUGGAGGUCACCGUCUGGGACUUUGAACACUAUGGUGCUAAUGAGUUCUUGGGGGAGGUUAUGUUGAACCUGGAGGCCGUACCCCUGGAUGACGAACCCCACUUGUACCCGCUACGCAGCCACAACAAGCAGGUGCCCCUCCCGCUGGUGUCGCCAGUACCCGCCCGGCACCAGAUGAAGCACCACUCCCACCGCAACAGCGACACGGGGAGCCGGGAGCAGCUCUCGUCCCCAGCAUCAGGCGGGCGGAUCACUGACAGCGAGUUCUCUGAUUGGGAUGAUGGUAUCGGAGUCGUUACUGGGGCGUCGGUGGUAGGAGUGGGUGAUGGGGCCUCUUCGCUCGGUGAGCGUCGUGCGACGCCACCCAUGAACGAAGGUUCAUCAGUUGUUGGGAUUGGGGAUGGGGCCAGCGUCUCCUCCCUGGGCAGCAGCUGUAGUCCACCCCCAGCCAGUGAGGAUGACAGGCCACCCAACGAGCAGGAAUACCCCAGGUCACCCACCGCCCAGCGGCGGUCGGGAAUCGUGAUACCACCUCAACAAGAUGAGCUUUCUUCUCACACGCGAGAGCGCCGUGGUUCUGCUAGCACCCUUGCUGUCCCAGAGAGGGCUCCCCGGAGCCGGCCCCGCAGCCCUUCCCCGACCCGACGGGAACGCAUGAGCACGGAGCCUGUAGAUGUCUACCGCAAACACCAGGAGGCAACGUCCCGUUUUGCCCACUACCAGGAUGACACGGAUGGGCAAAGCCGACAGUCACCAACUGCAAUGAGAUCACAGAGAGAGCGGGACCGGGGAGGCUGGGAGUACGAGCGGAGUAGGGACUUGCGAGACCGGGACCUACGGGAUCAGGAUCUGCGGGAACAUGAGCUGAGGGAGCUUGAUUUGAGGGAGCGUGAUCUGAGGAGCCGUGAGUCAAGGGAACGUGAACUGAGAGACCUCCCGCCACAUGAGCUGGACCUGCCGAGCCGCGGCCUGAGUCCUCGUGAACCACACGACCAGGAGCUCCUCGACCGGGAAGGGCGUGAUCCUCGUGACCACCGGACCCACCGUGCCCUGUCCCCACCCACCCGGUAUGACUACGAGCGGAUGAGCGGGCGGCGGUCACGCUCGCCAAGUCGGCGGGCCGACCUGCAGCACGGCGACCCCCAUCGCCGGACCCAGUCUGAGAACCGGGGCGAGAUGGACUAUGAGAGGCAGUACCGGUCACACGCCCGCACGAUAACGUCCAACAUUGACGCUUCCAGCCUACCAAACUCACCAGUCCACGGGGGUAGAGGGAGUCCUGUAUCAACGCCUUCCACACCACGCAAACACAGACAGCUGCCGCAGGUCCCUGCACAUCUCAAAUCAGAUAAAGGGACAGCCGAAAUUGAGGAAAGAGCCCGCCAGAUGAAGCUCAAGAUGAAGAUCAAUCAGUACAAGCAGGCAGCAGCCACUGCCAACACCCUUUCUCCCCAUGGCGCUGUUGCCUCAACCUCUGCAGGGGGCACUCCCAUCCUGGAUGCCCCGCCACACCCUCGCCGCAAGCAGAGCCCGGACAACAUCUCCAUCAAGUCUUCAGACAGCAACGUGUCCAGCACCAGCGACGUGUCAGCCAUCACCCAGGCCAGUACGGCCAGCGCCUUCUCCACGCAAUCUGAGCGCCGGCCCACCAGAAAACUCAGAGUGACCCCAUCGUCUGUCACCGGGGCCGUUACCAGACUGUCCCAGUCCGUGCACCAGACCGGCCCACGUCACGCCAUGGAUUCGAGCGAACCUGCGUCACCGCUCGGAAUGGCAACGAACGAUUUGCCCCAAUUGAAAGUAUCUCAUGAUGCUGACAAAUGGUUUCGUCUCAGGAAGUAGAAACCAGGAGAGCUGAAAAGGCAAAUGUGAAUGAACGGUGAGACGUGAAGAGAUUGCCUUUACCGCGAAAAUGCAAGAGUCUGCUCCCGUGAAGAAACCACUGAAUCGAAGCAACAGUAGUGCUGAUAUGUACACGUA
rnacentral:misc_RNA from 1 species